GUACAGCUAAUUAAACUAACUGUGCUCUCUGUCCUGGGGAUCUAGUAUGCAAUGGCUGCCAAUAGCAAGUAGAUUCAUUGAUAAUGUAGCAACCUGUGGUUGUAUGGGCUGUUCAAAGGAAUCUUGUAAACAGUC